UACAGAGACUGCAAGCGUUAUUCGGAUUCACUGGGCGUAAAGGGUGCGUAGGCGGCGCUGUAAGUUGGGUGUGAAAUCCCUCGGCUCAACCGAGGAACUGCGCCCAAAACUACAGUGCUUGAGGGAGAUAGAGGUGAGCGGAACUUAGGGUGGAGCGGUGAAAUGCGUUGAUAUCCUAAGGAACGCCAGGGGCGAAAGCGGCUCACUGGGUCUCUUCUGACGCUGAGGCACGAAAGCUAGGGUAGCGAACGGGAUUAGAUACCCGGGUAGU
rnacentral:rRNA from 1 species